AAUCUUUGUCACAAAUUGUUAUAAUUGUGAAACAAGUGAACUUGGCAGUGAUAUCUGGACUAAAGAUUUAAACUUGUUAUCAGUAUAUAAUGGUUAAUUAAUUUUAAAAGUUUCAUCCUUUUUAUUUACUUUGAUGUAUGUUUCAUUUCUGCUGACAGAAAUUCAUAUUCCAGAGGAAACUGGCUACUGCAAGCAUGAAGCUGUCUAAAGAAAAAACUACAUCAGCUGAGUUCUAUCCCCCAUCCCACCAGUGGAGUGAGUGUGGUGACAGGUUGCCAGCUGGGGUUAAGCCGUGACACCAUCUGAGCAGGAAAGUGACAUGUGCAGAACAAUCUACCCUGAAAUGCUUAGAACAAAUGAGAAAAAGCAAGCUAAAGAACAAUCUGACAACUAGAGUGAAAGGUGUCUGCUGACAUAAGAGAUUAAUAUUUUUUCAAGGAGUCUUUUGCAGAUACUCAGAUCUUCAGGGACUUUGCUGCACUUGUGCUAAUAUUCCUUAGAUUUUUGUACUCUAAAUCAACCAGUAAAGAAUGUGAUCAUCUUUGUGAUUUUACUUAUAAGUAAAACCAAUCAUAGUUUUGAACCAAGAAGCUUUCUCCUCAGGAAGCAGCACUGAAGUUUCCUGUUUGAUUAUGCCACAAAUCUUCCAAAGAUCUAAUUAUUGCUCUUUAAUAACUGCUUGCAGAACGGCAAGCUUCACUGAGAAUGUUGACUUGAUCAGACAUUUUCUGCUGAUUACAUGACAGCUGGGAGAAUUUGCCAUUUUCUUUGUUUGUAUAAAAUUACAAAGAACUUCAACAAUGAUUAGAUUCACAGUGAUCUGGAGGCUGUGGCAGUAAAGCACUUUCUACUUUGAUGAACUCAGCAGGUUUUAUUUCAUUUUGAAACAACGUAUGGCAGAUGGAAAACUGAUUUUGGUUGUCUAUUAAGAUUUUAAUGCUUUUUUUCCUUCCAAAAUAUUUUUUGGUUUGAGUUUUUUUUUCUUUUUUUUUUUCCUCCUUUUUUUUUUUUUUUUUGCUUGUUCUCACUCUAGAAUAAUAAUUGCCCCUUGGUUCUUUUCAUUUGAUGUCUAAAGAGGUUGACUUUCAUCAGCAUAGAAUAACACACUUGAAUCCCAAGGUUAUUUUAAUCUGGAAUGUUCAGGAAAGGUCUUUACCAUGUGAUAGGGAUUGUUGCUGAAUUUAUUUUUGUUUCUUGUUGGAAAUGUAGCUU